CAACUCUUGAGGGACAUGUGCAUGACGUCACAUGAGAAAACUCUGUAUCCACUGGCAUGGCGGUGACAUAAGAGGUGGCAAACUACCAAAGGAUUCGGUUUUUGAUGGUUCAGGGGAAACACAUAAUUCACUUAGGACUGCUGGUAUGAUUGUUGUGGGAUGCUUUCUAGGCGUGUGUGACUGGGGCCUUAUUCAGUUGACCCUACAUUGUUCAUCCACCUGUUUUCUUCUACCUAUCCAAUUCAGGGUUGUGAGGGUCUGAAGCCUAAUCCAGCUACCGAAGAGUGAGAACCCUAGACAGGUCAACAAUCUGUCACUGAGAGAGACUAUCAUUCACACCUAAGGUGAAUAUUGAAUCACCAGUUAACCAAACCCCACUAAUUGCAUGUCUCUGGACAGUGGGAGGAAGCAUGAGGAACCAGUGAGAAUCCACACAGACACAGGACAUCAUACAGAUGGCGAGUUUAAACCUAGGACCUUCCUGCUGUGAGCCAACGUGCUACCCUUUAUAUUGCCACAGAUCCACAAUACCAGACAAUUCCUGGAAGGCAGUUUGACAGUUGGACGUGAUCCACCAGCUUCUCCAUUUCCUGAAAGUCUUUCUCACACUUGCUCAAGCUGUUCAUUGAGUGACAAAAGAGAAAGCAAAGCUGUGGCAUGACUGCGCUUGAAGAGGCUGCCUUGUUGGACAUUUGGCAUUCCACUGGCACAGCAUCACAGAUGAUCAGACAGCAGAUGAGAUCAGGCGAACAACUCCUUGGACUAUGAUGUCUGCGAAUGGCACAGUGAUCUCAGCAUGGAUGAGAGGGAGGACAGUGGAAUAGUUAGAAUGGCCAAGGCGGAUAGGGUCAACUAUCCAAGCCAUCAGGGCAUGUGGAAGAGAAGUGAAGAAGAGCACAGAGGCAGGUCGUUGAAGAUGGCCUUCCCUUGUUCCCUCUUAGGAAGAAGCUCAAAGAGGUGGUUUAUGGAUGUGGUGAGAGAGCACAUGCAGAUGGUAGGUGUGGCAGAGGAAGAUGCAGAGGACAGGAAGAGCUGGAAACGGAUGAUGCACUGUGGUGGCCAGUAACAGGAAGAGCUUUGUUUGGGCAUGUAAUUAUACCCAUAUUUAGUAUAUUGCGGGUUUAAAAAUAUUAUUUUAAGAAAAUGUAUUUUUCCCCAUGUCUAUAUAAAUGCUUAUGCAUUCGUAAACAAAUAAAAGUGAGGCUGCAGAAAAGGUUAUCUCUAUAGUAACAUCAGCCUUGUCAUAGGCUUCAAAUGAAAAUCUCUUAAGUGUUGGGGCCUCUAAAGAAAUGACAGGUCAUUCAAGCUCCCUUUGUCUCUUUGUCAUCCUUUCAUUAUCAUGACCGGACAGGCAAAAAAACAUUUGACGUUGCUAUGGUUGGGAGGUUCUACAGUACACACAGCCGGACGACUUAGCCCUUUUUGUCUCAGAUUUCUUUGGCUUUACUUCUGACUAGAAACACUCCCAGGCAGAAUGCCAGGAUCCCCAAGGAGAGUUCAGACGUUUGUCCUGUGCCACUAUUAGGAUGCCAAGAUAGGAAGAAUUAGAUUAAUUACAAGAAAUAUGAAUUGGGGAGAAAAUGAAAAGGAGAUAUUCAUUCCUUGCUGGGCCAAAGGUUGAAUCACUCAGGGCAGACUCGGCAAGUCCUUUUGUGCAGAUGAUGUCUCUGAUACGGGCAGAUACUGGAAGACACACUGAAAGGGGAAGCGAUUACACUUAACUUAUUUAUCCUAGCUAAUUUUAAGUGUGCGCACUUUAUGCGAACACACAAACACAGACAGUAAAUGACCUCAUGAGACAGCCUGAUAAAGUUGUCUGACAAAAACAACAACAUCUUGUGCGUGAGCCAGCAGCUCCUUUUAAUCCUACAGUA